GAUGAAGAACGUAGCGAAAUGCGAUAAGUAAUGUGAAUUGCAGAAUUCAGUGAAUCAUCGAAUCUUUGAACGCACAUUGCGCCCGCCAGUAUUCUGGCGGGCAUGCCUGUUCGAGCGUCAUUACAACCCUCAGGCCCCCGGGCCUGGCGUUGGGGAUCGGCGGAGCCCCCCGUGGGCACACGCCGUCCCCCAAAUGCAGUGGCGGUCCCGCCGCAGCUUCCAUCGCGUAGUAGCUAACACCUCGCGACUGGAGAGCGGCGCGGCCACGCCGUAAAACACCCAACUUCUGAAUGUUGACCUCGGAUCAGGUAGGAAUACCCGCUGAACUUAAGCAUAUCAAUAAGCGGAGGA
rnacentral:misc_RNA from 1 species